AUUGAACGCUGGCGGCAUGCCUUACACAUGCAAGUCGAACGGCAGCACGGGAGCUUGCUCCUGGUGGCGAGUGGCGAACGGGUGAGUAAUGCAUCGGAACGUGCCCUGAAGUGGGGGAUAACGUAGCGAAAGUUACGCUAAUACCGCAUAUUCUGUGAGCAGGAAAGCAGGGGAUCUUCGGACCUUGCGCUUUUGGAGCGGCCGAUGUCGGAUUAGCUAGUUGGUGGGGUAAAGGCCCACCAAGGCGACGAUCCGUAGCGGGUCUGAGAGGAUGAUCCGCCACACUGGAACUGAGACACGGUCCAGACUCCUACGGGAGGCAGCAGUGGGGAAUUUUGGGACAAUGGGCGCAAGCCUGAUCCAGCCAUGCCGCGUGCGGGAAGAAGGCCUUCGGU
rnacentral:rRNA from 1 species